rnacentral:tRNA from 1 species
UCCUUAGUGACUCAGCAGUAAAGUACCUGCCUGCCAUGUAGGAGACCUGGGUUCGACCCCAUGGUUGGGAA